GUCUACGGCCAUACCACCCUGAACACGACUGAUCUCGUCAAAUCUCGGAAGCAAAGCAGAGUCGGGCCUGGUUAGUACUUGGAUGGGAGAAAUUGAAUUAUAUUAAAAAACAGAAUCCAAGGCU
rnacentral:rRNA from 1 species